CCUCAGAUCCAGUGUCUCCGGUUAAUGGGACAGUGGACUUACUCUCCAAUAGCUCCGACUCCUGUAACCUCACAGUGACCUGCAGCACACAGGACUCCCAUCACAUCAUCAGCACUUUUAGAUGUGAGGCCAACACCUGCAGCCAGGAGGAGGGAGGAGAGAGGUCCAAGGUCACGACCUCCGGCACCUCCCUCCGUGUCUACCUGUCCAAAGGCUUCUCAGUUAUCUGUAACCAUAGCAACCAGGUCAGCUCGGACGAGCACAUAACAAUGAUUAGGGACUUUUGUUUCUCAAAUCCUGCCCCUGUCCCACUGAACUAUAUCAUUAUCGCCUUUGUCACAGUCACUGUGGUUUUGGUGAUAAUUGCCAUACCAGCAGCUUUUGUUCAACAUCGAAAAAACGGAAAACAUGAAACGAAGGAAAUGAAAAAUACACUGUACGAAACUGUUCAGCACUACGUGUGCCUCGCUGCUCGUGCUGCUUGCUUGUGCUCGAACAAAACACUUUGCUGCGGAUCAGAGGCGAAUUUCCAGCUGCACCGUGCUGCAUUCAUCCAAACAUCCCUCUGAGGUCAAAAGCGUGAACCCACUUGUGGAUCAGAAUCCAACUGAUGAUGCUGCAGCUCCUUCUCCGUCCUCCAUCUACAGCGUGAUCGAAGCAGGUCCAUGAAAUCCACUGAGGCCGGAGACACGACUCAGCCUGAGAGCCUGUAUGCUCAGGUGGACAAGUCGGCCCUGGCCUGAAGAAAAUCUGAAAUUGUCUUCCACAUUCUGCCUUUUGGACAAUUUCCAGUAUUAUUGUUGCCGUGAGUCAUGUUAUAUUUUCCCUGGGAAGUUUUUUUUUUUCAUCCAGAACCAGGAGCAUCUGGAACAGCUCCGCCCACUUUAAAACUGUUAUUGUAAUAUAUUUCAUAUCUUAUUGAAAAAGAUACCUGAUGAGUGUUUGACAUUUUGGAUGAAUUCCGAAGUGAUUUUGCUGCUACAUUAUUUUUGAUGAAAAAAAAAGUUCUUACUUCACCAAAGUGUUAUGCUUCCUUUAAAAAAAAUACUAAUAUGAUGACGAGGAAGGUUUAACAGCCAACAACCAGGAAUGAUUCCAAACAGCAGACAUUUCCUGUCGGCUUUCUGUCUUGUUUGUAUAAAAACCUUCCUUUUACACUACUCAUGCACAACAGUGUUUAUUCAACUCCUAUAGAGUCAAAUACAAAACUUCCAAGUGUUUGUAUAGGUCCAACCUGUAGGGAGUUAAAACUACACUUUUGAAAGUUUUAAAGAAUUAACACUCAGACAGAGUUCCAGCAACUCUCUCUAUAGUUGAAAUUUAACACCGGUCAACACUGGCCAGUGUUAAAUUGAAGCAACACUAUUGUGCAGUGUCCAAAGUUAACACCACAAGUAUGAUUUUUUUUAACACUAGAGUUAAAGUCAUAUUAACACUAUUGAGGAUGUAAAAUGUAACUCAAUAUUUAACUCUUUAUAGAGUUGAUUCAUAUUUUAAAAACACUGUAGGGAGUCGAUUUAUAAUCCCCAAUCCCACUUACUGUGUGAUAUUAUUCCUUUAAAAACUAUAACUAUUGUAACUGACAGAUUGAUUUAUUUGUGUUGGGUUUAUUUUGUAAUUUAUGUUCAAGUAUGUAUCCUGUUAUUUAAAUUAGUAAUUUGUUGUCCUUUUAAACGUAGCGACUCACGCCAGGGGCUGUUACAACUAUAUACAAGAAAGAAAGAAAGAAUCAGCAAUUCAAAGAAGUUUGCAGUUAACAUGAAACUGUAUUUGUGUAAGCACACCACAUAACACAGCAUUGGCUUUACAUCUUUUCCCAUCAGUCCUCAAAAGCAAAGUUCACACAAUAUGGCAAUGUGGCAAUAUGUAUGUUUUUUCAUCCAUCUCAUUAGAAAACUGUUUGUCAUAGGGUCUGUAAUAGAUUAAAUCCUCCAAAGAAAUUACAGAAAAUGAAUCAGUUCUCUCCUCAACACAGUAUGCAUUAAAGUGGUCAUCAAAAUAAAGUGUGUCAACUUUGCAAGUCAAAAA